GUAGGGGUGUCAAAAUGGGUAACC
rnacentral:siRNA from 1 species